CCUACGGGUGGCAGCAGUGGGGAAUAUUGGACAAUGGGCGAAAGCCUGAUCCAGCCAUGCCGCGUGUGUGAAGAAGGCCUUCGGGUUGUAAAGCACUUUCAGUGGGGAAGAAAGCCUUGGGGCUAAUACCCUCGAGGAAGGACAUCACCCACAGAAGAAGCACCGGCUGAACUCCGUGCCAGCAGCCGCGGUAAUACGGAGGGUGCGAGCGUUAAUCGGAAUUACUGGGCGUAAAGCGCGCGUAGGCGGUCUGAUAAGCCGGUUGUGAAAGCCCCGGGCUCAACCUGGGAACGGCAUCCGGAACUGUCAGGCUAGAGUGCAGGAGAGGAAGGUAGAAUUCCCGGUGUAGCGGUGAAAUGCGUAGAGAUCGGGAGGAAUACCAGUGGCGAAGGCGGCCUUCUGGACUGACACUGACGCUGAGGUGCGAAAGCGUGGGUAGCAAACAGGAUUAGAUACCCCAGUAGUC
rnacentral:rRNA from 1 species